rnacentral:rRNA from 1 species
CCUACGGGAGGCAGCAGUGGGGAAUAUUGGGCAAUGGGCGCACGCCUGACCCAGCAACGCCGCGUGAAGGAAGAAGGCUUUCGGGUUGUAAACUUCUUUUGACAGGGAAGAGUAGAAGACGGUACCUGUCGAAUAAGCCACGGCUAACUACGUGCCAGCAGCCGCGGCAAUACGUAGGUGGCAAGCGUUGUCCGGAUUUACUGGGUGUAAAGGGCGUGUAGCCGGGUUGACAAGUCAGAUGUGAAAUCUUGGGGCUUAACCGCAGAACUGCAUUUGAAACUGUUGAUCUUGAGUACAGGAGAGGCAGGCGGAAUUCAUAGUGUAGCGGGGAAAUGCGUAGAUAUUAGGAGGAACACCAGUGGCGAAGGCGGACUGCUGGACAGCAACUGACGGUGAGGCGCGAAAGCGUGGGGAGCAAACAGGAUUAGAUACCCCGGUAGUC